rnacentral:rRNA from 1 species
AGAGACAGCAGUCGCCACGGUAAUACGGAAGGUCCAGGCGUUAUCCGGAUUUAUUGGGUUUAAAGGGAGUGUAGGCGGUCUGUUAAGCGCGUUGUGAAAUUUAGGUGCUCAACAUCUAACUUGCAGCGCGAACUGGCGGACUUGAGUGCACGCAACGUAUGCGGAAUUCAUGGUGUAGCGGUGAAAUGCUUAGAUAUCAUGACGAACUCCGAUUGCGAAGGCAGCGUACGGGAGUGUUACUGACGCUUAAGCUCGAAGGUGCGGGUAUCGAACAGGAUUAGAUACCCCAGUAGUCCCUGUCUCUUAUAC